GGCCUCGUAGCCCAGCUGGUAGAGCAUGCGCGUACAAAGCGUAGGCGGUGUCCAUGCGUGGGUUCGAAUCCCACCGAGGUCA
rnacentral:tRNA from 1 species